GGGCCAGUAGCUCAACCGGUGAGAGCAGCGGUCUUAUAAACCGCAGGUUCCCGGUUCGAUCCCGGGCUGGCCCA
rnacentral:tRNA from 1 species